CAUCUUUCAGUUGCAUCAUCGUCUUAAUGGCGGAAUCGUCUGACUCCUAUCAUCGGAAAAUUCCUGGCAAUUACCCAUUCCAUAAAACAAUCUGCUCAAUGUAUCUCUAUGUGAUAGUAUGCGCCAACUCCUUGUGCGGGUGCUGGAUUGGCAGUUCCAAUGGCUUACGAAGACGUCUUUUUUCAUUAGAAUUAGCGAACCGUGGGUGACUUUUUCCUCUAUCGAACGAAAUUCGGCUUUCGAAAAGCAACAUGGCAGUUGAUUUCUAUGCAGGUUGUCUUGGAGGUUGUGCUGGUGUACUAGUUGGUCAUCCUUUUGAUACUGUUAAGGUAUUUUUCUCAUUUUAUAUAACUACUGAUAAAUUCCUAAAUAUUAAAAAGCAAAAAAAG